rnacentral:rRNA from 1 species
GACGAACGCUGGCGGCGUGCUUAACACAUGCAAGUCGAACGGAAAGGCCCUGCUUGCAGGGUACUCGAGUGGCGAACGGGUGAGUAACACGUGGGUGAUCUGCCCUGCACUUCGGGAUAAGCUUGGGAAACUGGGUCUAAUACCGGAUAGGACCGCACUUUAGUGUGUGUGGUGGAAAGUUUUUUCGGUGUAGGAUGAGCUCGCGGCCUAUCAGCUUGUUGGUGGGGUAAUGGCCUACCAAGGCGGCGACGGGUAGCCGGCCUGAGAGGGUGUACGGCCACAUUGGGACUGAGAUACGGCCCAGACUCCUACGGGAGGCAGCAGGGGGGAAUAUUGCACAAUGGGCGCAAGCCUGAUGCAGCGACGCCGCGUGGGGGAUGAAGGCCUUCGGGUUGUAAACUCCUUUCGCUAGGGACGAAGCUUUUUGUGACGGUACCUAGAGAAGAAGCACCGGCUAACUACGUG